GGCGGUAGCAAUACCGACUGGCGCACGGGUGCGGAACACGUAGGUAAUCUGCCCAUGAGGGGAGAACAACUCACCGAAAGGUGAGCUAAAUCUCCGUAAUGUUUAGCUGUGGCAUCACAGUUUAACCAAGCUUUCUCAUGGAUGAGCCUGCGUCUGAUUAGCUAGUUGGUGAGGUAACGACUCACCAAGGCUACGAUCAGUAGCUGGUCUGAGAGGAUGAUCAGCCACAUUGGGACUGAGACACGGCCCAGACUCCUACGGGAGGCAGCAGUGAGGAAUAUUGCUCAAUGGACGAAAGUCUGAAGCAGCAACGCCGCGUGAGGGAUGAAGGUGCUCUGCAUUGUAAACCUCUGUAGUCGGGGACAAAAAGUGGGUUACUACCCACCUGAUGGUACCCGAAAAGUAAGGAUCGGCUAACUACGUGCCAGCAGCCGCGGUAAUACGUAGGAUCCAAGCGUUGUCCGGAUUUACUGGGUGUAAAGGGUGCGCAGGCGGACUUAUAAGUCAGGGGUGAAAUCUCACGGCUCAACCGUGAAACUGCCUUUGAUACUGUAGGUCUUGAGUUAGAGAGAGAUUCGUGGAAUUCCGAGUGUAGCAGUGAAAUGUGUAGAUAUUCGGAAGAACACCAGUGGCGAAGGCAGCGAAUUGGCUCUAUACUGACGCUCAGGCACGAAAGCAUGGGGAUCAAACAGGAUUAGAUACCCUGGUAGUCCAUGCCCUAAACGAUGAUCACUUGAUGUCGGCCGCAAGGUCGGUGUCGUAGCUAACGCGUUAAGUGAUCCACCUGGGGAGUACGCUCGCAAGGGUGAAACUCAAAGGA
rnacentral:rRNA from 1 species